rnacentral:rRNA from 1 species
AGAGUUUGAUCAUGGCUCAGGAUGAACGCUAGCGGCAGGCCUAACACAUGCAAGUCGAGGGGUAACAUAGGAAAGCUUGCUUUUCUGAUGACGACCGGCGCACGGGUGCGUAACGCGUAUACAACCUACCUUUUAGCGGGGAAUAGCCCAGGGAAACUUGGAUUAAUGCCCCAUAGUAUGGAGAUCUCUCCUGAGAUUUUCAUUAAACAUUUAUGGCUAUUAGAUGGGUAUGCGUCCUAUUAGUUAGUUGGUAAGGUAACGGCUUACCAAGGCAGCGAUAGGUAGGGGUCCUGAGAGGGAGAUCCCCCACACUGGUACUGAGACACGGACCAGACUCCUACGGGAGGCAGCAGUGAGGAAUAUUGGACAAUGGGCGAGAGCCUGAUCCAGCCAUGCCGCGUGCAGGAAGACUGCCCUAUGGGUUGUAAACUGCUUUUACAGAGGAAGAACCACUCCCACGUGUGGGAGUUUGACGGUACUCUGCGAAUAAGGAUCGGCUAACUCCGUGCCAGCAGCCGCGGUAAUACGGAGGAUCCAAGCGUUAUCCGGAAUCAUUGGGUUUAAAGGGUCCGUAGGCGGGCAGUUAAGUCAGUGGUGAAAGUCUUCCGCUCAACGGGAGAACUGCCAUUGAUACUGAUUGUCUUGAGUUAUUAUGAAGUGGUUAGAAUGAGUAGUGUAGCGGUGAAAUGCAUAGAUAUUACUCAGAAUACCGAUUGCGAAGGCAGAUCACUAAUAAUAUACUGACGCUGAUGGACGAAAGCGUAGGUAGCGAACAGGAUUAGAUACCCUGGUAGUCUACGCCGUAAACGAUGGUUACUAGCUGUUCGGCCCGAUUAAGGGCUGAGUGGUUAAGCGAAAGUGAUAAGUAACCCACCUGGGGAGUACGUUCGCAAGAAUGAAACUCAAAGGAAUUGACGGGGGCCCGCACAAGCGGUGGAGCAUGUGGUUUAAUUCGAUGAUACGCGAGGAACCUUACCAGGGCUUAAAUGUAGUCUGACAGGCUGGAAACAGCUUUUUCUUCGGACAGAUUACAAGNGCUGCAUGGUUGUCGUCAGCUCGUGCCGUGAGGUGUCAGGUUAGUCCUAUACGAGCGCACCCCUGUGG